rnacentral:lncRNA from 1 species
GGGAGCGCGCAUGCGCAGCGCUGCUGGCCCGCUCUCUGAGGAGCUUUCAAUACUUUGGGGUCAAGUUUGAGGCAGUUGUAACUGUACUGAGUUUAGUUUUGCUAAUAAUGGUAUUCUACGUGUGUCAGCCUCGUGUGGACUUCUGUAAUGACUAAUGGAUAUGUUUAUAUCCUGAGCAUUUGCUGUAGGAAUUUUAAAUGCAAUCCCAAAACUCAAGAUUACCUUAUUUGGAGAAAUAUUCGUGUUACUAUGUUUAAAAUUUAAUAGAACCAUAUUUUACCUUUCACUUUGGGACUCGCACAGGAUGUUUGCAGCUCUUGAUAUACAGGAGUGUUAAGGGUCUUCAUAAACAGAAACCGCAAGGAACCUGGGAUCUGACAGCUGUUGGAGGAAUGCCUGUGAGGAAGGAGGAGGAACAGAAGAAUGCUUUGAUGUCUUAAAUGGUACAUCCAAACUUAAGUGAAAUAGAGCUGUGAGGACAUUUUGGGGAGAAGUGACCUAGAUAAGCACUGACUGUUGCAUUCAUCUCUCUUCUUGCUGAUUGUGAUGAUUUCCUGUGCCAUAGCCAUUCAAAGUCUGCCAAAAAAGGCCUUGCCUCCUGGAUGGCAUUUUUGAACCCACCCUGGGCCAGAGGGGAGCCCACUUCUUUGAAGACAGAAACACAGGACUGGCAACAUUUACCAUAAGCUGACUGAGCAGCCAUUGGGCCUUGAGUGAACAUUGGUGGUAGCCAGGCAGUACUUGUCUCAGUACUUGCCUCAGGCCUGGGGUGUCGGUGACCACAGGGAGAGCAUCCAUCUGCUUGAGGAAAGGAGAACAAAGAAAAUAAAGGGCUUAAUCUUGCACUUGAUUGCCAGCUCAGCCAUAGUAGAAUACAGCACCAAGUAAAUUCCUAAGGAUCCUGAUUCCAGGUCCUGGCUCCCAGAUGACAUUUUAGGACUUGUCUUGGGCUUAGGGGGAGCUCGUCAUACUGAAGGGAAAAACACAAGCCUGGCUGGAUUUGCCACCAGCUGAAUAAAGAGUGCUUGGGCCUUGAGUGAACAUUGGCAAUAGCCAAGGAGUGGUCACCAUGGACCUUAGGCAAGAAACCCGGUGCCGUGCUGGCUUUGGAUCUGACCCAGCAUAAUCUCACUGGUAUUUUACUUCUUGUCCAUUUACUUUUUAGUUUAUCAUACACACCAUGUUUACUAGUACUAAAACUGUCUUAAAAUAUUGCAAUUUUGACCCUUUUUCUAAUUGACCUUUAUGUUUUUACAAGCACAUUUUAUUACAUAUGAAUGAGACUUUACUAUGUUAUAUGUAACUCUUAAUUCUGUAAAUAAUAGAUUGCUUAUCUGAAAUAUAGCUGAUAUUUGUUUCUUAAUUAUUUGGCUAUUCCCUAUAUGUUAUACUCUACUAAAGAUCAUGGGAUUUAGAUUCAGAAAACUUACUUCCUAGCUCUUAUUAUUUCUGUGAUCUUGCAAAAGAAAACAAAAAUGAACCAUUGUUUUUUUAUCUGUAACAGGAAAUGUACUUCACAGGAUUGUAAUGAGAAUUAAAUUAGAUAAUAUACAUGAAAAUC